rnacentral:rRNA from 1 species
GAUGAACGCUGGCGGCGUGCCUAAUACAUGCAAGUCGAGCGAACAGACGAGGAGCUUGCUCCUCUGACGUUAGCGGCGGACGGGUGAGUAACACGUGGAUAACCUACCUAUAAGACUGGGAUAACUUCGGGAAACCGGAGCUAAUACCGGAUAAUAUAUUGAACCGCAUGGUUCAAUAGUGAAAGACGGUUUUGCUGUCACUUAUAGAUGGAUCCGCGCCGCAUUAGCUAGUUGGUAAGGUAACGGCUUACCAAGGCAACGAUGCGUAGCCGACCUGAGAGGGUGAUCGGCCACACUGGAAAUGAGACACGGCCCAAAACCCUACGGGAGGCAGCAGUAGGGAAUUUUCCGAAAGGGGCGAAAGCCGAACGGAGAAACGCCGGGGGAGGGAUAAAGGGUUUGGGAUCGUAAAACUUUGUUAUUAGGGAAGAAAAAAGGGGAAAGUAACGUUCAACGUUUUGACGGUACCAAAUCAGAAAGCCACGGCUAAAUACGU